UACGUAGGGUGCAAGCGUUGUCCGGAAUUAUUGGGCGUAAAGAGCUCGUAGGCGGUCUGUCACGUCGGCUGUGAAAACCUGGGGCUCAACCCCGGGCCUGCAGCCGAUACGGGCAGACUAGAAUUCGGUAGGGGAGACUGGAAUUCCUGGUGUAGCGGUGAAAAUGCGCAGAUAUCAGGAGGAACACCGGUGGCGAAGGCGGGUCUCUGGGCCGAUAUUGACGCUGAGGAGCGAAAGCGUGGGGAGCGAACAGG
rnacentral:rRNA from 1 species